rnacentral:rRNA from 1 species
AUUGAACGCUGGCGGCAGGCCUAACACAUGCAAGUCGAACGGUAACAGGAAGAAGCUUGCUUCUUUGCUGACGAGUGGCGGACGGGUGAGUAAUGUCUGGGAAACUGCCUGAUGGAGGGGGAUAACUACUGGAAACGGUAGCUAACACCGCAUAACGUCGCAAGACCAAAGAGGGGGACCUUCGGGCCUCUUGCCAUCGGAUGUGCCCAGAUGGGAUUAGCUAGUAGGUGGGGUAACGGCUCACCUAGGCGACGAUCCCUAGCUGGUCUGAGAGGAUGACCAGCCACACUGGAACUGAGACACGGUCCAGACUCCUACGGGAGGCAGCAGUGGGGAAUAUUGCACAAUGGGCGCAAGCCUGAUGCAGCCAUGCCGCGUGUAUGAAGAAGGCCUUCGGGUUGUAAAGUACUUUCAGCGGGGAGGAAGGGAGUAAAGUUAAUACCUUUGCUCAUUGACGUUACCCGCAGAAGAAGCACCGGCUAACUCCGUG